GACGGGGCCCGCACAAGCGGCGGAGCAUGCGGAUUAAUUCGAUGCAACGCGAAGAACCUUACCAAGGCUUGACAUACACCGGUAACGCCCAGAGAUGGGUGCCCCUUUGUGGUCGGUGGACAGGUGGUGCAUGGUUGUCGCCAGCUCGUGUCGUGAGAUGUUGGGUUAAGUCCCGCAACGAGCGCAACCCUCGUCCUAUGUUGCCAGCGGGUCAUGCCGGGGACUCAUGGGAGACUGCCGGGGUCAACUCGGAGGAAGGUGGGGAUGACGUCAAAUCAUCAUGCCCCUUAUGUCUUGGGCUUCACGCAUGCUACAAUGGCCGGUACAAAGGGCUGCGAUACCGCGAGGUGGAGCGAAUCCCAGAAAGCCGGUCUCAGUUCGGAUUGGGGUCUGCAACUCGACCCCAUGAAGUCGGAGUCGCUAGUAAUCGCAGAUCAGCAACGCUGCGGUGAAUACGUUCCCGGGCCUU
rnacentral:rRNA from 1 species